ACGCCAGUAGCUCAAUUUGGUAGAGCAUUGGUCUCCAAAACCAAAGGUUGGGGGUUCGAUUCCCUCCUGGCGUG
rnacentral:tRNA from 1 species